AAGACAAUACUUUCAGGGAUCAUUUCUACAGUUCAUUACUAGAGAAGUUUCUCUGAAUGUGUAGAGCAGAGGUCUCCAACCCCAGGG
rnacentral:snoRNA from 1 species